rnacentral:rRNA from 1 species
GAUGAACGCUGGCGGCGUGCCUAAUACAUGCAAGUCGAGCGAACAGACGAGGAGCUUGCUCCUCUGACGUUAGCGGCGGACGGGUGAGUAACACGUGGAUAACCUACCUAUAAGACUGGGAUAACUUCGGGAAACCGGAGCUAAUACCGGAUAAUAUAUUGAACCGCAUGGUUCAAUAGUGAAAGACGGUUUUGCUGUCACUUAUAGAUGGAUCCGCGCUGCAUUAGCUAGUUGGUAAGGUAACGGCUUACCAAGGCAACGAUGCGUAGCCGACCUGAGAGGGUGAUCGGCCACACUGGAACUGAGACACGGUCCAGACUCCUACGGGAGGCAGCAGUAGGGAAUCGUCCGCAAUGGGCGAAAGCCUGACGGAGCAACGCCGCGUGAGUGAUGAAGGUCUUCGGAUCGUAAAACUCUGUUAUUAGGGAAGAACAAAUGUGUAAGUAACUGUGCACGUCUUGACGGUACCUAAUCAGAAAGCCACGGCUAACUACGUG